ensembl:lncRNA
GUUGAAUGUGGACUGAAUUACAGCAAUGGUGUAAUAGCUGCUGUUUAAAAACAAAAAGAGGCUGCUUCUGCUUUCCUGCUAGGAUACCAGCUAAAGAGUUAAUAGAAAUCCUCUUAAGAUGUGGUGGUAUAUCUAUAAACAUUUUGUUUUUCCUUUUAUAAAAGUAGACUAGAAUGUACUUAGUGGAGAUCGGAGGAAUGGCUCUUGGGCAGUUAGCAGGCCCUUGUCCUCAAAUGCCUCCAUUGUGAAGCCAGGGUUAUGGUGUCAUUGGAUGGCAUAGGCUGUAAUCUGCACUUAACCAGCACUUAAACAACUAAUGCCCCCUUUAAGUCCCCCGUUGUUAAAACGUUUCCUCUUCUGUGCCCCCAAAAUUGUCCGUAGCUGUUUGCUGAAUGUACCACAGCUGGUUAUGUAGUGUUUAUUAUUUGUUUCUUUUUGUAAAUUCUUUUCAAGAAUCAUCUCAGCAGGUAAAGGAAAUUGGCAUGCACUCAGUGAAGGAAUCAUGUUUGUGUCUCAGCCUUUUAACAAUGUGCCAACAUCAUUCCACAGUAUUUACAGUUUACAGAGACGGUGCAAGAGUUUCCUCAGGAGGACACGGUGUCUCUUAAGAUUCUGAAAUAAAGGGGAAAUAUAAGUGAGGUUUGUCUUUUCUCUGUCAGCUCUCUUCUUAUGGAUGUUUUUUUCUCUUUGUUAAACAAAAGAUGUCUUAUUUUGGAAUCUAUAUUGGAUAGAUUUUAUUUAAGGAAAAACUAAUUUUGUAAAGUGGGCCUUAUUAUUGAAAUAUAUAAAGUAUUUGUCCAUCUUGAUUUAAAGAGGGUUUUUUUUUUUUUUUUUCCUUUUUCUCUGUCACACUCCUGGAGAGUUCUUCUUCGUGUAUUUUGUGCUUGGUAGUUUUAAUGCAAGACGUUUCUCACAACCUGGAGACAUGAUGACGCACCGUGGAUGAGGAAAAAGAGAAGCCAGCGAUAGUCUUUGAAGAGUGAGAGUUAUGUGCGUUUUAUCAGAGCUGAGCAGGUCUCCGGUGUUGAGUCCCUUUUCUCUUUUUUUUGUUUCAUUUUUUUUUUUUUAAAUCGGGGACCAUUCACUGCUCCAGCCGCUUUGCCGCCCUGAUCUCCCUCUCUCAUAAAUUCAGGGUUUGUACAUCUUCUGUGCUGUAUGUUUGAAAGUGCUGCCAAAGAAAGAAGCGUGCAGGUCCCCAGACAUGUGUAUAUAUUGAAACCUACAAUCUUAACAGGAACAAUCGGAUAACGAAUUAAAAGAAUACAUUUUUUUUUUAACUGGAUGUUCUCUCUCUUAACGCUGAUCCAUCCACAUCUAAGAUUUUCCGAACUGUACAAAUGAGGGGUUUAUUUGUUUGUUUAUUUGGGUUUUUUAAAUAGAUGAGUGUAUAUAAAUGUGUGUGCAGAACAAGGAGACUGACAGACAGAGGUGUCAAACACAGACGUACAUGUGAUUAAAAUCAGAUCAAAAUUGUUUUAUGAUUGAUUACUGCUUCUCUGUGUCAGCAAUGCCAGGUGUACUGUGUGGGGAGGCUUCUUUUUUUCGUUUUAAACUUAAUACAUUGUGCAUGUUUUAACCUUUCUGUGGCUGGCGCACUCUGCAUGUAGGUCUCUUGAAGCUGUACAGCAG